GCACCAGCUCGUGGAGAUCAUUAACAGACCCAACACCCCAAAGACGCUGUUGGAGAACACAGCAAUAACAAUUGGUCGUCUUGGUUACGUUUGUCCUCAAGAGGUGGCCCCCAUGCUACAGCAGUUUAUAAGACCCUGGUGUACCUCUCUGAGAAACAUAAGAGACAAUGAAGAAAAAGAUUCAGCAUUCCGUGGGAUUUGUACCAUGAUCAGUGUGAAUCCUAGUGGCGUAAUCCAAGUAAGGUGUUCACAGGGCUUUGUUUUGAGUGGACCGAGUGCUAAAUAAUACAUUUUUAAAGGGAAUACAUUUUAAGGAUUUAGUUAUAUUUGUUUAUUGUGUGUGGACACACACGUGCCAUUGCACACACGUGAGAGUCCGGACAACCUGUAGAAGUCAGUUCUGUCCUCUAACAAGUGGGUUUUCUUGGGGCUGACCUGAGGUUCUAAGGCAUGGCGGCAUACCACUGGUGUCUUGUCUUGGCAGAUUGGGAGAGGAAGGUUACAUUGUUUGCUCCUUUUUAUGCACAUUCCCUCAUUUAUUAAUUUUGUACAUGCCUCCUGUCCAUGGAUACAGCUUUACUGAGUUUGAACUUAAAAAUAGCAAAUAAAAUAGAAUAGUGAUUU
rnacentral:lncRNA from 1 species